GCCUGGGUAGCCAAGCCUGGUUUACGGCGACAGCCUGGAAAGCUGUUCUCCUCCGGGAGGCAUGAGAGUUACUCACUUUGAGUGACUUUGCCUGAGUUCAAAUCCCAUCCCAGGCGCCA
rnacentral:tRNA from 1 species